rnacentral:rRNA from 1 species
CCCUUAGAUGUCCUGGGCUGCACGCGCGCUACACUGGAAGUUACGGAUUGAGAUACUACCUUGUCCGAAAUAGUCCGGGUAAUCACCUAAAAGCUUGUCAUAAUUGGAAUGGAUUAUUGUAACUAGUAAUCCUGAACGAGGAAUUCCUAGUAAGUCCCAGUCAACAGCUGGUACUGAUUACGUCCCUGCCCUUUGUACACACCGCCCGUCGCUACUACUGAUUGGACGUUUAAGCAAGAUUUUUAAACACUGACAGUGUGUAGUUCACGCUAUACUACAGUGAGAAGAAGAAGAUCGAGCUUACUUGUCUAGAGGAAGUAAAAGUCGUAACA